UUUGGAGGAAUUGUGCCCUAACGUAUUGGGCCGUGAUUUCUUAAAUCUUGAAUAAAUGAAUAUUCUUUUAAAUUUUUAUUACACGAGUAUUCUGGCCUAAUUCAUUUUUGAAGAAAUUAGAAUGUCGUGCCCUAACGCAUUGGGUGUGGCAUUUUCUUUCUCUGAAAUGAUGAGGGUCUUAAUACGUAACGUUUUUAAGUUUUUGCUAAGGAUUAUAUUUUUUCAAAUUUUUGACAUUAAGACAUUAAUUAAUUAACUAGGUACCAAUUUUUGGGCGUUAUGAGGGUGCUAAUCCUUCCUCAUACGUAACCGACUCCCGGACCCAUUUUUCUAAAAUUCGUAAACCAAAGUCGUUUUUAGGUGACCCAAUCACACCUUAAUAAAAGAUUGGUGGCGACUCCCAAUUUUCAUUUUUUAAAGUCGACAACCUAAAAUUUUUUGUUUUCAAAAAAUGGUUUCGACAGCUUGGCGACUCCACUGGGGACUUUUGAGAGUCGAGCCGCAAAGUUGGUUAAUUUUUGUCUUAUAGUCAAAAAAUGAAACUUGUUUUAAAAAGCCUGUUGCAUUUAUUAUUUUUUGUUUAAUGUAUUUAAGUACUGUUUGCACUACACAUUACAUGGGUUGAAUGAUUUUACCCUUUAAGUGGGAGCGAGAAACUAGUCCUUCGUGAGGUUUUCACUUCCGUGCAGGGUAGUGGACCGUUUCCCGGGUACAUCCGUACCUAUGUCUUCGUGAGAUUUUCAUCUCCGUGCAACCAUAGGGAAAUGUAUUCCCCUAAACUGAACUCGGUCCAUAUGAGCCUAUAAUGGGUGAGGAUUAAGGAAUCUGUUAGUUCGGGUACCUUUACUUUAGAAUCGAACCGCAUAUAAUGAGCCCUAGGAGCUUACCUUAGGUAGAACCGUACUAAAACCUGGUAGAUAUCCGAAUAGAUGUUUUACUAUUUCUUGAUUAUUUUCUAUGUUUAUAUAUGUUACUCACCUUUUGUGUUUUAUUUUGAUUGCAUGACAUGGCAUUUCAUUUCAUCAUAAAAAAGAGGUGUUGAUUCAUGUUCAGUUGUUAAAUAGAGAGCUUGUCAUAAGAAAAUAGGUUUCUUGAUAAAGUGGAUGACAAUAUGGUUGUCCGAAUAUGGUCCAAGAACACGUGAUAAGAGAAGGAUGAUAAUGGAACACUAUACGACUAUGGCUCCGUUGCCUAAGGAUUCAAGAUAACAAAGAUUAUUCAAGAGCCGCUGAACUUUCUUAAAGAGAAGCCAACGAGCAUCAUGAGGAUGAGUGAGCAACGAAUUGUAGCCCAGAUCGAGCAAAAAAAUGAGAUAGAAGAGACGUUCUUUUUGAAAAGUUCGUGAGAUUUAUCUUAACGCUCGAAUGAAGAAGAGGAUCGAAUGUCUUCGCCUAUGAGGGCAAGGCCGUAUAAAUAUUCAUUUUAUGUAAAGAGAUUUGUUUUCUAGUAAAGUUCUCUAAAUGGAAUUGAAUCUGAAUCAAUGUCUCUUUAUGCAUUCAUUUCAUGCAUUCGCAUUACAUGAUAUCAUAGCAUUAAAGUCCACUAAAAGAUUCUAAUUAAUUUAAAUAAUUCCUCAGUUAAUCUGGAAACCAACCUACCUACCAAACACCUCUAUGGUACUCGAUCAAAAACUAAGGAUAUGGAUCAAAGGAUGGAAAGACUAAAACAAUCCCAAAAGGAAAUGCAGGAGCAGCUUCAAAAGCAAAUGAAUGAGCAGCAAAAAAUGAUAGACAAAAUGAUAGAAUCUCAAGGGAGUAUGAUGGCUCAGUUAACUCAAUGGUUCAACAAAUGAACUGAUAAAGGAAAAGCCUAUGUGCUCAAUAUUGAAGAAAGAGGCAAUGAGGGACUUGUUUAUCCUCCGGACUUUACCCCCCAACAAGUUGAGAUAUACCCGCGUAGGUUCUCUAUUACCAUUAAUCCUCCGGGUGACGCUGCAACACUAUUGAAUCUCCAAGCAGGAUCAGGCUCUAACCCCAGAGCCAACUUUGUUAAUCCUGCUAUCCUUGAUUUCGAUGAGACGGCUAGAAAGGAGAAAAUGUAUGAUGAAUUGCCAAAACAGCUAGAGGAAAAGUACAAAUGGUUGGAAGAGAAAUUUAGAGCGAUGGAAUGUGCAGAAGGCUACUAUGGGAUGGAUGCUAAAGAAUUGAGUCUGGUUCCAGAUUUAGUGCUCCCUUACAAAUUCAAAAUGCCAGAGUUUGAGAAAUAUAAUGGAACCAGUAGCCCCGAAGCUCAUAUUACCAUGUUGUGCAGAUGAAUGACCGGUUAUGUCAAUAAUAACCCACUCUUGAUUCAUUGCUUCCAGGUUAGCCUCACAUGGGCAGCAUCCAAGUGGUACAAUCGAUUGAACCGUACCCAGAUUAAUUCAUGGAGAGAUUUAGCACAGGCAGUCAUAAAGCAGUACAGCCAUGUGAUAGAUAUGGUUCCUGAUAGAAUCACUGUAACAACCCGGUUUUUGACCCUAAUCGGAAUAGUGGUUUUGGGACCACUAAUCCGAAUUAGAAAAAUAUUAUUAAUAUUAUUUUGUGUGUUUAUUUUGUGUGCAUUUGAUUGUGUGAAAUUUUCGUGUUUUAAUUUCGUCGUUUAAGUGUCCGAUUUAAUAAAAGGGCUUAAUUGCGUAAAAUGAAAAUUUAGGGGUUAAUUAUAAAAGCACCUAAUUGUUGUUGUCUUUAUAAUUUAGAGGUUUUAUUAUGCAAUUAGUCCACUAUGUAAGUUAGUGGGUGGCAAUGGACUAAUGUAACCUUAUUAUAUAUGUUAUAUAUAUAAAGGUUAAUAUAGUAAAUUAAAAAUAAGGCUAAUAUAUGUUUAAUAUAACAAAUUUUAAAUGCCAUGUUCUUCAUCUUGGCCGAAUAUAGAAAAGAAAAAGAAAAGAAAAGAGAACAACAAGGUUCGGCUAUCUCUAGGUCUAAUUAAGGUAUGUUUUUGCUUCGGUUUUUGAUGAUUUUUAUGUUUUUGAUAUCGUUGCUUUGAAUACUACCCUACCCAUGCUUGAAUUUCUGAUUUUGAUGAAUAUUUUGAGUUUUGCUAUUGAUGAAUAUUUGUGUUUUGUGAUGUUUGAUGAUGAAUAAUGAAAGAUAUGUCUUAGAUUAACAUGUUUUGUCUUGGGAUUUUUGAUGAAUUUGAGUAUUUAGGGUUAAAUUGUGAAAAUAAAUUUUUGAGGGACUAAAGUGUGAAAUAAAUGCAAUGUGUGGACUUUUAUGAGAACCAUGAAUAUUCGGCUCUUGUGUGGUAUGGGCAAAUUUUGUGUAUUUUGUGUUUUGUGCAAAAAGGACUAAAUUGCAAAAAGUGUAAAAUGUUAGGGGCAAAAUGGUAAUUUUCUCAUUUAUGUAUUUUUGAACUUAAUUGAAUGUUUUGAUGAAUAAAAAGGUUAAAUUUGAUUAUGUUUAGAUCAAGAAACGAAGAAAACGAAUUUGGAUCGGGGAAAAACGAAAGUAAUCGAAUAGUCGAUCGUGUCCGCUGAUAUCCGAGGUAAGUCUAUUAGCAAUUUGAGGUUAUUAAAUCAGUAUAUAUGCAUGUAUAUCUAUAGUAAUUUGGUGAGCUGAAAUUGAAAGUAUAUGGAUUGAAUUUUGUUUAAGUAUGAAUGAUAUAAAUAUAUAUAUGUAUCAUGUUCGAAAAUAUAUAUAUGUAUAAAUACUUGUUUUUAAUCAAAGGUAUUUAUAUAUAUAAUAUAUAUGUAAACAUAAGGUCCGAAUAUAUAUAUAUAAGCAUAUACAUGUAUAAAGCCUUGGACUUGGUUAAAGGUAUGAAUGUGUAUAAAUAUGUACACGUGAGUUGUAAUAUAUAUGUAUACUCAUGAAUAAGUCUUGAAUAUAUUUAAGUAUGAAAUUAUAUAUGUAUAUGUUAGAUUCGAAUAUGUAUAUACGUACAUGUAUAAGUUAUUGUAUUGAAAUUAGAUAUAAAGUUAUAUACAUAAAUUUGUUAGGUUGAAUCAUGAAGUUAUUUAGCUGGAUUUUGGUGUUUGAAAUUCAUGUACCUAUGUGGUUCAAAGAUAUAGGUUAUAAAUUUUGAGCUAAAUUUUUAUGUAUGGAUUUAUAUACAUAUAUAGUUCGAAUAUGAAUUACAGCUCUUUGGACUAAAAUUAUUGUUGUGAAUUAUGCAAGUAUGUUUUAAAUGCAUGUUUGUUACACAGAAUUGAAUAUAAUUCAAUUUCAACGGAGAAAUGACUAUCGGAUUUAUUGCCAGUGAAAUUAUUCAGACUAUACGUCUAGCAGGCUAAGUGCCGGUGAAUUGAAUCGGACUAUACGUCUAUCAGGCUAAAUGCCGGUGAAUUGAAUCGGACUAUACGUCUAGCAGGCUAAGUGCCGGUGAACUGAAUCAGGCUACAAGCCUAGCAGGCUAAGUGCCGGUGAACUGAAUUAAACUAUAAGCCUAUCAGGUGAAGUGCCAGUGAAUCUGUUUAAAUUAAGUGAUUCUAUGCAUUGGGUAUAAAUAUAUAUGCUUUUGUUUAUAUGAAAUGGAUAAGUUUAUGAACAUUGUUUUAAAGUGGUUGAUGAGUAUAUAAUUGUUCGAGUCCUUGUGAAUAGUGAGUAUGUAUAUAUAUAUCGGUUGUCAUGAAAUUGUUGGAUAUAUAUAUGUGUAUAUAUGUAUGCAUUCGGCAUAGGUGGGUAUAGGUGUAUAUGUGCAUUCAGCACUUAUAGUUGAUCAAGUAUAAAAUUAUUAUGCUUUUGGUAUAUGUAUUUGAACAAUUAUAUUUAAAUGGAUCCGAUGAAGUGCGAACAAUAAGUACUAUAGAAAUCAGUAUAUGCAGUUAAUGAUUAUGUUAGUAAAUUGAUUAUAUGCAUAUAAUGUAUAUACAUUUGUCUGUUCAUGUGUAUUAGAUAAAUACACAUCCUUUUGGAUUUAAACAAGAUGACUUAAUAUAGCAAUGUUCGAUUAGUAAUUAUAAUUGAUAAUUGUGAUUUCAAUAAAUUUAUUUUAAGAAUUAUAUGAUUCUUUUAUAUGUAUUUUAGAUAUGCUAUAGACUUACUAAGCUAUAAAAGCUUACUUUGAUUGUUUUUGUCCAUUUGUUUUUAUAGAUUUUGGAGACACGUUACGAGCUCGGGGAUCAUCAGCAUAGUCUAUCACACUUUCGACCCCUUUUGGUAUUUUGUUAAAUAUUUGAACUUGAUCUUAUGGCAUGUAUAGGUUUGAGUACGAUGUUGGUUAGAUGUUGAUUGUAAAUUAUAAAUAGCUAUGCGAAAAUGAUUUAAUUUUCAUGUUUGUGAUCAGUUGGUUUUAAAAAUGGUUGUAUUUGUUCGGUAAUGCCUCGUAACCCUAAUUCGGCGACGGAUACGGGUUAGGGGUGUUACAAUCACCUUACAAAAUUUGGAAAAGAAAUCAAAUGAAAGCUUCAGGCAGUACGUACAGAGGUGAAGGGAGGUCGCCGUCCAAGUUCAGCCAUCGCUCCUGGAAAGGGAAAUGACAAUGCUAUUCAUAAAUACAUUGAAAGCUCCGUUCAUCACACAUAUGUUAGGGAGUGCGACAAAAAAAAUUUCUGACAUAAUCAUGAAUGGUGAAAUAAUUGAAAGCGGCAUAAGGAGUGGAAAGAUUGAUGCUGAAGGAAAUAACAGAAGGCAAGCCUCAAAAGAAAAGGAAAAUGAGGUAACAGCGUGAAUACGUACGGCAAAUUGAUUGCUAAUCAACAGAGUUCAUCAAAACAAGAAUUAGGUGUGAAGCCAGGUACUGAAAAGCUCCAGUUCAUGCUAAUUCCAAUGUCGUACAAAGAGCUGUAUCAAAGCUUAUUCAAUGCGCAUGUUGUUGCUCCUUUACAUGUGAAGCCUUCACAGCCCCCGUAUCCCAAAUGGUAUGAUGCAAGUGCACAAUGUGAUUAUCAUGCAGGAAUUACGGGGCAUUCUAUAGAAAAUUGCAUUACCUUUAAAAAACUGGUUGAAAGGCUUAUCAGUAUGGGCGUUGUCAAAUUUGGUGAUUCAUCCAGUGCAAAAAAUCCGCUACCCAAUCACAUUUGACAAUGGGCGUGAAUGGGAUGUAUGAAGAAAUGUUGAGAGGCGUUCACAUCAAUGCCAUUUUUGAAGACAAUUUACAAGGGUCCUUGAAGAUAUUCGCCCUUAUCAACUUAGAAGUGUUCUAAGUAAUUGAACUGCGGAAGAGAUCUCUGUAGUUUUUUAGAGCUUAUUUAGAGUAAGGUUCAGAACAAUUUUGUUGUUUUUAGCCUAAAAAUGAUAAAAAUGCCUUUGCGAAAUAGGCUCAUGUCUGAACGUCAUUAUUCUAAUAAAAUACAUCUUUGCAUCCAUUUUUUGAGCCAAUAUAUUUUAUUCUUUUUAAAUAAUUAUUCUUUCAUUUUGGAUUUUCUUCCACAUUCAUAAUUAUAUUGUACAAAUAAUCAUUCUUAAAUUCAUACAUUCUUUGUAUAUUCUUUUGUACUUACUAUAGGUCCCUGGAUAUCAAUGACAUGAGUGACGCUAUUACAGACUGAGAAUCUCCUUUUGAGCGAGAUAUAUGUUUAGAGGGAUCUCAUAACUUUGAAGAUGACAUAGAUUGUAGCCUAUUUCCGAACUUGCUAAGGAUGGUAGAACAAGUUGAGAAACGGAUCUUACCCUACAAAAAAAUCAUUAGGAUACCUGAUUUCUCCUUAUGUGAGGCAUGAAAGUCAUUUGGUCGAUAUCGCUAAAAGAGUCUGACGAUCAUCGAUUCAUCUUUAGGAUCGUCAAUGGGUGAAAGCUGCUUUAUAUGCCAAUGUCACAAGCCGACAGUUAGAAAGUUCUUGAAGAAUCAUAUGGAACGCCAAAAGGAUCAUAUUUGACAGCAUAAUAUCAAAAGUUUGUAGUCUGUUCACGGUUAAUGCCAUAUCGCAAAAAAAAACUGUCGGGGCAAUACCUUUCUCUUGAGUCCAUUGCGAUUUUGCCUAUUGAAGAUAAGAUUCUUUCUCUCUGAGUUUUUGACCCAAUUCUGAUUGAAGAGGAAUGUUCAAAGUUAUUCAUCAUGGUCAAAUGUGCUAAAAGCAAAUGAUGUGAGCUCACAAAAAAGGGUCUGCCCUAGAGAAUUCUUUGAGAGGGACCUGGUAUUGAAGAAGAUCCUUCCCAUACAAAAAGAACUUCAUCCCAAGCUGGGAAGAACCAUAUGGUAGAGGUGCUCAUGGGCUGGGCGGUCCGGCUCGGCCCGACGGCUUGUCCGAAAUAUGAGAGGGUUUGGGUAAAAAUAUAGGCCCGAAAUAUGGGCUUGGGCAAAAAAAUGAGGCCCGAUUAAAAAAUGGGCCAGGCCUCGAGCACCACUUUUUUGGCCCGGGCCCGGCCCGAAUAUAAUAAUUUUUUUUUAUUUUUUAUUUUUAAAAUACUUUUAAAAUACUUUUUUUUUAAUUUUUUUAAAAAUUUUUAAAUUUUUUUAAAAUACUUUUUAAAAUUUUUAAUUUUAAAAUAUUUUUAAAAUACUUUUUUUAAUUUUUGUUUUAAUUUUUAAAAUAAAUUUUUGGUAUUUAUUUAAAAAACGGGCCGGGCUGGACCCGGGCUUAUGAAUUUUUUCCCGGGCUGGGCCAAGGCAAAAUUCUAGGCUCAUAUUUCGGGCCGGGCCCGGGCCUAGGACCCGGGCCGGAAUUUUUUCUGGGCCCAGCCUGGCCUGGCCCAUGAGCACCUCUACCAUAUGGGGAAGGCCUUAUCUGGAAAAGCGUUGAUUUUGAUCAGAAGGGAUAAUAAUGACUUGCCUAAUCCUAGGAGUUCAGAUUAAAAAAAAAAGGUCAAAAUCAAAAUAAAAAUGAAAGUGAUAAAAAAGAAAAGAAAAAAAAAGAAAAAGAAGAGGCCAAGUUGAAAACCCGCAAAGGGCGUCUUGAGAUCAAAAGGGAUUUGAGUUGAAAACCCGAAAAGGGCGGCUCAAAUAUUUGAUCAGAAUGGGGCAUGGGGUGAUCAGAGUGGUUCAAAUUUUGAUUAGAUUGGGGCAUAUGAUGAUCUUGCUAUACUUGAAUUAACAAGAAAGGGUAGGCGACGUCUUGGAGCAUCGACAAAGCACUAUAGAUCUCUUAAACACAUGUCAAACUCAGAAUGGUCUUCAGAAAGUUUGUACAGUAAAGCUCAAGCUGCGAUAUCUGGGGCACCCAAUUUAUUUUGUUGUUCUUGAAAUACUUCAUUCUUUUCCAAAAUACACAUUUCCAACCAAUUUCUUUGUUAUCCGUCUUUACUAUUUUUGAUAAUUUAUUCCUUUCGAGCUAUGCUCAGAACCAAUUGUAUUCUCAUUCAUUGUUAUACCCUUUUUGCAAGCAUGUUGCAUUAGAAUAAUGAUAAAUGGACUAAUAAAAUUUUCACGAAGAAAGUUUUGCAUAUUACUCUAGAAGUUUCUAAAUAAUAUGGGAACCUGAAACAAGACUAUUGUUUAGAACGCACCAAGUUUAAAGGUUGGAAAUUUAAAGAGGAAAAGUCUAAAUUAGGACUUUCUCUUUGGAUUCUGUUAUCAAAAACAUUAAUUGAGCAAAGUGACAAGAUGUCAGGUUGGUGACAAAGCUAAAAUAAACAAGCAAGCAAUGAUCACCAGACAAUAGGAAGAGAUUUCCUCAGAGAAGAAAGUCUUCAUCUAUGCAUGAGCUUUUGGUACGACACUCGGAGAAUGAUGUAAGGGACCAGAGAGAUUUAGAUCCUGUACCCUUGAAUAGUGAUAAAAGAGGAUUGAGGAAAAGCCAUACAUUUCUACCCUCGGGCUGCAGUGGGAGAAUGAUGGUACAAAUUUUACGUCCUAGUGGAUUGAGCUUUAAAGUUAACAAUAGAGGGCAAUUUGAUUAAUCGUUCAGCCAAGCAAAAAGCGUCAGCGAUAAAACCUUAAUAAAUUUUGAGAAAUGAUAACUUGAGUGAUAAUUCUUGAAAAAUGACAUUCUGCGUUCAUUCAAAUGUCAUUCACACAUGUCUAGUUAUGAGCAUUUGAUGCAUUUUGAUUAUGCCAUCCUAAUCAUUAGGCAUAAUUUGGUUCAUUAUACAUGUCAUGUUCCCUAGAGAACAGGUCAGUGAAAAUAGCAGAUCUUGCCUUCCUGCAUCGACAGCGAAGCAGGUCGAAGAUGGCGGAUUUUACCUCCCUGUGGUUACAGUGGAGUACAUUGAAGCCAGUAAUUCUACUUCCCUGGACAACAAUGGAAUAGAUUGAAGAUUUCAAAUCUUAUCUCCCUAAGCAGUAGUGGAGCAGAUCGAAGAUGGCGGAUUUUACCUCCCUGUGGUUAUAGUGGAGUACAUUGAAGCCAGUAAUUCUACUUCCCUGGACAACAGUGGAAUAGAUUGAAGAUUUCAGAUCUUAUCUCCCUAAGCAGUAGUGGAGCAGAUCGAAGAUGGUGGAUUUUACCUCCCUAUAGUUAUAGUGGAGUACAUUGAAGCCAGUAAUUCUACUUUCCUGGACAACAGUGGAAUAGAUUGAAGAUUUCAGAUCUUAUCUCCCUAAGCAGUAGUAGAGCAGAUCGAAGAUGGCGAAUUUUACCUCCCUGUAGUUAUAGUGGAGUACAUUGAAGUCAGUAAUUCUACUUCUCUGGACAACAGUGGAAUAGAUUGAAGAUUUCAGAUCUUAUCUCCCUAAGCAGUAGUGGAGCAGAUCGAAGAUGGCGGAUUUUACCUCCCUGUGGUUAUAGUGGAGUAUAUUGAAGCCAGUAAUUCUACUUCCCUGGACAACAGUGGAAUAGAUUGAAGAUUUCAGAUCUUAUCUCCCUAAGUAGUAGUGGAGCAGGAUCGAAGAUGGCGGAUUUUACCUCCCUGUGGUUAUGGUGGAGUACAUUGAAGCCAGUAAUUCUACUUCCCUGGACAACAGUGGAAUAGAUUGAAGAUUUCAGAUCUUAUCUCCCUAAGCAGUAGUGGAGCAGAUCGAAGAUGGCGGAUUUUACCUCCCUGUGGUUAUAGUGGAGUACAUUGAAGCCAGUAAUUCUACUUCCCUGGACAACAGUGGAAUAGAUUGAAGAUUUCAGAUCUUAUCUCCCUAAGCAGUAGUGGAGCAGAUCGAAGAUGGCGGAUUUUACCUCCCUGUGGUUAUAGUGGAGUACAUUGAAGCCAGUAAUUCUACUUCCCUGGACAACAGUGGAAUAGAUUGAAUAUUUCAGAUCUUAUCUCCCUAAGCAGCAGUGGAGCAGAUCGAAGAUGGCGGAUUUUACCUCCCUGUAGUUAUAGUGGAGUACAUUGAAGCCAAUAAUUCUACUUCCCUAGACAACAGUGGAAUAGAUUGAAGAUUUCAGAUCUUAUCUCCCUAAGCAGCUGUGGAGUAGAUCGAAAAUGGUGGAUUUUACCUCCCUGUGGUUACAGUAGAGUACAUUGAAGCCAGCAAUCCUAUCUCCCUGGUCAGUAGUGAAAUAGGUUAAAGAUAAGUCUUAUCUCCCUGAAGUUGUAGUGGAGUAGAUUGAAGCACUAGUUCCUAUACCUCUGAAGAUGCAGUAGGAAAGAAUGAGGUUACCCAAAGAAGAAGAGUACCAAGUCCAGCACGACCGGGCAAAAUUGGGCAUUUUAAAGUCUUUGCUCCGUUCCCAUUACACAAUAACGAGCAAAGAGGGCCAGCUGUAAUACCCUAUUUUGGCCCGGGUCUAAAAGGCCCAAACUACCAUGGGCCUAUAGGGCCCAAACCCUAAAAUAGAACAAAGGCCCAACGUUUCCAGCGCAGAGGAAACCCUAGAGGUCCUUCCACAUUUGCGUCGCAGCCGCAAGCUCCAAAUCUUUGCCCGAUCUUCACCUGCACAACAAGAAAGGAAACGGGAACAGAAUAUGGCAAGAAAAAUCUUUGAAAUCAUGAAAGAUACCAGAAGAUUUUGUUUACUUUUCUUGUUUCAUUGUUUGCUAUAAAAGCAAACUCAAUAUAUUGUAAACUGGGGGGAAAUUCAGUGUAAAAAAAUAAAAAAUAUAGAGAGAAAAUACGGAGAAUACAAAGAAUUUUUUUGAAGGUGAAUCGAGUUUCUAUUUUUAUAUUUUCUAUUCUUUUGAUUUUUUUAUUUUAUAAGAAAAUAAUAUAAAAGAGGAGAGGGGUAAUACCUUCGAGGAUUGGCCGUUGAAACUACGUUCGCCUCGCUCAAAUCGGAGCUUGGUGGAGCGCUGGGGAUCGGCUCGCCUGGGAACGGCGGCGUUGAGAGCUGGGGUCGAAAAACCCUAGCAGAGGGUUCUUAAUUUUUUUUUUCUGCUCACUGCUGCAGACAUGUUUUUUUAAAAAAAAAACUGCUUUAAAUCACAUUAGCAAAACGGCGCCGUUUGAGGGGGAGCCAGAUCCGCCCGUCGACCCAACCCGCAAGCAGGGUCUGCGCGUUCUGGCCUGAAUGGGAAAUUUGCGCAGUUAGCCCAUCCCUUUUGCGACGCGUUUUAAUUAACCCAUUUCCUUUUUUAAAAUUCGGCCCAAGUAUUUUACCUGUGUGUCAUUUUAAUCCACGUCGCUGCGCACCGUUUUGGGGAGGCAGAUUAUUGCCGAUUUGAUCCCUGUGUAGUUCGCGUGUCGCAAUUUGGCCCACUAUUUUGCUUAAAUUUCAUUUAUUCCUUGUUAUUUUAGUUGUUUCAACUAUUUGGUCCUUUUUUGCAAUUUGUUGUUUUUAAAGUUAUUUUCUCCUUAUUAUUAUUAUUAUUAUUAUUGAGUAUUAUUAUUGGUAUUGUAAUUAUUAUUUUCAUGUACAUACAAACAUUUUUAUAAUAUAUAUACUUCUAAAAACUUGUUUUUUUACUUUAGUAAGUAUGUAAAUACGUAUGCUACUAUACAUUUUUUAUAUAUAUUAUUCUUCAUAAUUUUUUUAACUAAUAUUUUUCUCAUAUUUAUAUAAUUAUGCAUAUUUAUUUAUUUAUUUAUAUUAAUUUUGAUAAUGUAGAUAUUAUUUAAUUAUUUUUAAUAUAUUUUAUAUGUUCAUAUAUAUAUAUACAUAUGUUUUUUUUCGAAAAUGCUUAAAUACAUGCUUAUAUUUUUAAUACGUAUUUUAUAAUUUAUAUGUACAUAUUUUUUUAUUAUUUAUUUUUUAAAUACGUUAUAACUUUUGUAUAUAUAAGUUUUAUAACCCAAAAUUUUAUUUGUAAAUCAUAUGUCUUUUUUUUAAAUUUCUAAGUGUAUAUUAUAUACCUUCCUUUUUAUUUAUUUUGCUUACGUUCUACAUUCGCUAUUCAAUUGUGUUUAUAUUUAUAUUUUUUAAUAUUUUGCAUAUCAUGGAAUAUUGUUUUUUUUAUAUAUAUUCAUUUGUUUAUAUUAUUUCUAUGCUAUUGUUGUAUUUGUUAUCACGAUAUUUGCACAUAUAAUAUAACGUUACAUCAUCUUUUAUCUCAAAUUUAAAAAUAGAAAAUUUUCAAAAUUGAGAUAAUGCUCGUACUUAGGAUUUUCAAGGAAAUUGAGCCCUAACGUAUUGGGUUCCGAUUUUCUUCGUUAAAUCUAACAAUCGAGCAUUUCUCUUUAAUAAAAAAAUAAGAACUCAUUAUUGGGAAUUCAACACGUUGUGUCCUAACGUAUUGGAUGUGACGCAUUGAUUUCUCGAAAUGAAGAUUUUUUCUAAAAAAUAAUAAAGGAAAUAUUCCGAGUUUGGGAUUUUGGAGGAAUUGUGCCCUAACGUAUUGGGUCGCGAUUUCUUAAAUCUUGAAUAAAUGAAUAUUCUUUUAAAUUUUUAUUACACGAGUAUUCUGGCCUAAUUCAUUUUUGAAGAAAUUAGAAUGUCGUGCCCUAACGCAUUGGGUGUAGCAUUUUCUUUCUCUGAAAUGAUGUGGGUCUUAAUACGUAACGUUUUAAGUUUUUGCUAAGGAUUAUAUUUUUUCAAAUUUUCGACAUUAAGACAUUAAUUAAUUAACUAGGUACCAAUUUUUGGGCGUUAUGAGGGUGUUAAUCCUUCCUCAUACGUAACCGACUCCC
rnacentral:lncRNA from 1 species